AUUCUUUUAACCCUAACUGAUGCAGUGUGUAGCUUUUCAUUUCUUAAACAACCAUAUCAGAAGACAUAUCCAG